rnacentral:rRNA from 1 species
UACGUAGGGGGCGAGCGUUAUCCGGAAUUACUGGGCGUAAAGCGCACGCAGGCGGUUCGCCAAGUUUGGAGUGACAGUUGUCGGCUCAACCGACAAAGGACUUCAAAAACUGGUGAACUUGAGGACGAGAGAGGAACAUGGAACUCCAGGUGUAGUAGUGAAAUGCGUAGAUAUCUAGAAGAACACCAAUGGCGAAGGCAAUGUUCUGGCUCGUUUCUGACGCUCAGGUGCGAAAGCCAGGGGAGCGAACGGG